GAGAGAGAAAGAGAGAGAGAAUCGCGAGUGACUCGUGCGAGGCGCCGCCACCGCCGCGUACGGCUCUCCUCUCCACCAUCACACGCGCCAGCCACUUUCUGUGUGUGUUCCUGCGAAAAAUCGCGUGAAAAACUAGGUAAACUUUUCGUUACGAGCAGCGGGCUUUGGUGUCUUUGGACCUGUGUGCUGUUGUGUCAGGCCGACGCGUCGCUUGCUCGACUGGCGAGCUCUCGGCCCCCCCUGUGGACUUGGCCAGGCUGUGCUGUGCUAUGUUCUCUCGCAGCCGCUGCUGUUUUUGCUCUGUGCUGUGCUCGCCUCCUCCCCGAGGAAACUCGUCGCGGCUUUCGAAGCUUCUAUCGCAGUGUCAAAGUGCCCUGGAUUCGAGUUUUCCGAGCCGUGGGUGCUCUCGUGCUCUAGCCAGACUGCCUGCUAUUGUGUGCCCUGCCUAUUGUGGAGCUCAGUGUGGUGUUCGCUAGGAAAGCCCGUUACAAUAGAGAAGAGAGGCGGACGCCAAGCUGAUCCUCGCUGCUCGGUACAGAUGGUCAGGCGCAGGACGAUGCGGAGCGUCGGGCGAGCGCAGUGAGAAACGACGUCGCCAGCGCCGAGAGAACGAAGCGAGCAGUGGCAGCAGCGACGCCGACGGUCAGAACGGGCGAUGACGCCGUGGUCCUCGUGCUCGGCUGGAUGAGGCCGGGGGAGCCUCGUUGACCAGGCUCGGCCAGCGACGAGCGGACGGACAGUGAUGAGUGCAGUAGCAGGUGCAGUGUUAGUGUAUAAAUAAAAAGAAGAAAGAAAGAGGAGGAAAAGAAGGAAAAGAAAUAAACGAGAGUGCUUCGAGAGUCAGUAGCGGUAGGAGCAGAAGCGGCGACGACGACGAGUACGACGAUAUGCCUUAUCGAGGCGAGUUGUUGGCGACGAGUACGACCGCGACACAUGACACGUAGUGGCCUGCCGGGUGGCGUCGUUAGUCUACGAGCGAGAGCAGCCGCGAGGAGGAGCACGUGACAGGCUGCUGCAGAGAGCCGCAGUUGUGCCAGCCCUGCAGCCGAGACUGCUUCACGGCUGCCCAGCUGACGU